rnacentral:rRNA from 1 species
UGGGGAAUUUUGCACAAUGGGGGAAACCCUGAUGCAGCGACGCCGCGUGAACGAAGAAGGUAUUCGUAUCGUAAAGUUCUGUCCUAUGGGAAGAUAAUGACAGUACCAUAGAAGAAAGCUCCGGCUAAAUACGUGCCAGCAGCCGCGGUAAUACGUAUGGAGCGAGCGUUGUCCGGAAUUAUUGGGCGUAAAGGGUACGCAGGCGGUUUAAUAAGUCGAAUGUUAAAGAUCGGGGCUCAACCCCGUAAAGCAUUGGAAACUGAUAAACUUGAGUAGUGGAGAGGAAAGUGGAAUUCCUAGUGUAGUGGUGAAAUACGUAGAUAUUAGGAGGAAUACCAGUAGCGAAGGCGACUUUCUGGACACAAACUGACGCUGAGGUACGAAAGCGUGGGGAGCAAACAGG